rnacentral:rRNA from 1 species
CCCUUAGAUGUUCUGGGCCGCACGCGCGCUACACUGAUGCAUUCAACAAGCCUAGCCUUGACCGAGAGGUCCGGGUAAUCUUUGAAACUGCAUCGUGAUGGGGCUAGAUUAUUGCAAUUAUUAAUCUUCAACGAGGAAUGCCUAGUAAGCGUGAUUCAUCAAAUCGCGUUGAUUACGUCCCUGCCCUUUGUACACACCGCCCGUCGCUCCUACCGAUCGAAGAGUUAGGUGAAUUGUUUUGAUCGAUAAGAUUUGACUAUGGUCAACUCUCGUUGUGAAAUUCUGUGAAUCUGACUGUUUAGAGGAAGGAAAAGUCGUAACA